UUCCUAUCUGGACAUGCUUAAUUCUGUGUCAUGGUACAGCCUGGCAGACAAGGAGGCAUUGAGCACUUCACCCCAGCUGGGGAAGCAGCUGAAUACAGAGAACAUAGUCAAGUUGUGGAGAAUGACCAUGCUGGGCCAGUGAAGACGAAUUUUCUACGUGCUUCAAUAGCCAACAGCUCAUAGAUGAACAUAUCUCAUUGCCUACAAAUAAUCUGUGAAGAAAUAAGCCUGGCAAGUGACAUUCUACCACAGAAGCAAACCACACUCCCCACCAAGUUAUAGAAGAUGUUGAGGCCCAUGCAUGAAAGGGGAAAGGUUGAGAUAUGCUCUAUAAACCCAGCCUACUAGAGUCUUAUACUUGUGUGGAGUUCAACAUCGGGACAAUUACCUGAAGGCACAAAGUAACUGCGAAAGAGGUGUCCAUUGCCUUCUGUCUUCUUUUAUUUCUUUUCCUGGAAAAAAAAAAGGUCUUGAUUAUAUGGCCAGGAUCCAAGCAAGAACCCAGCCACUGAUUCAGCAGCCAUCCCAUCAGAAGUCUGAGUUCUGUUCUGUUUUCUGUUCCUUUUACUUUACACCAUUAUGCUUUAUUGGCUCAUACCUCCCCUGGCCAACACAGCCUCAGGAUGGCAAAACUUGUCUGUUCUCUUUGAGCAGCUUGCAGAUGGCUUGUGGUGUGUAUGCAGAGGGGCUUAAACUCACCUUGCCUCUGAAACCCUGGAGAGCCCUAAAAGCAGAGCUUGUAGGGGCUGAUGGCUAGAGACUCUGAGUCAGCAGAUUUGGUUGGGAUAGGGACUCUAUAUUUCUCAUGAACUCCUUGGUUAUGCUACCACAUAAGCCGCUGCUGGUGUAUGGAUCUGACUUUGAGCACAGCUGUGGUUGUAGAUAUGAAAUUACAGAACAGCUGUACUACUCAAAUUCUGGCUUUUAAGGCGCUCAUCUCUGUGGUUCUCCUCCCCUACCUCCCAACCCCCUGUAAACUGGGAGUUUUGGUCCAGGUAAUCGUUAAGUACAGCCCUGUUCCUUCUUAACUCGAGCUCCCAUCUUUUGCUUCUCUGUGUGUCUUUGAUGGUUCUUUGCUUCAUAAGAACAGCCUUUUACCUCCAUCAUCAACCUCUUCUCUUUUUGAUUUUGUUUUGAUGUUUACUUCCUUGUUCUAGCUGUGAAUUAAUUUUCUAAAUCUAUUCAAUAAAUAUGGUAAAUGUUUAUAGUAUUUAAAG